GACGAACGCUGGCGGCGUGCAUCACACAUGCAAGUCGAGCGAGAACCAGUCCUUCGGGUCUGGGGACAGCGGCGAACGGGUGAGUAACACGUGGGUAAUCUGCCCUCGAUACUGGGAUAGCCCGGGGAAACCCGGAUUAAUACCGGAUAGCCUCUCUGGUCUUCGGGCCGGCGAGAAAAGGUAGCUUCGGCCUCCGAUCGAGGAUGAGCCCGCGGCGGAUUAGCUUGUUGGUGGGGUAAUGGCCUACCAAGGCGACGAUCCGUAGCUGGUCUGAGAG
rnacentral:rRNA from 1 species